GCCACGGUAGCUCAGCAGGAAGAGCGCGUGCUUGGUAAGCACGAGGUCCCGGGUUCAAAUCCCGGCCGUGGCU
rfam:Archaeoglobus fulgidus DSM 4304, complete genome.